UACGAAGGGGGCUAGCGUUGCUCGGAAUCACUGGGCGUAAGGGCGGCGUAGGCGGGAUCUUUUAAGUCGGGGGGUGAAAGCCCAGGGCUCAACCCCUGGAAUUGCCUUCGAUACUGAAGAUCUCGAGACCGGAAGAGUAAGUGGAACUGCGAGUGUAGAGGUGAAAUUCGUAGAUAUUCGCAAGAACACCAGUGGCGAAGGCGG
rnacentral:rRNA from 1 species